rnacentral:rRNA from 1 species
UACAGAGGACUCAAGCGUUGUUCGGAUUCAUUGGGCGUAAAGGGUGCGUAGGCGGCGCGGAAAGUCGGGUGUGAAAUUUCGGAGCUUAACUCCGAAACUGCAUUCGAUACUCCCGUGCUUGAGGACUGGAGAGGAGACUGGAAUUUACGGUGUAGCAGUGAAAUGCGUAGAGAUCGUAAGGAAGACCAGUGGCGAAGGCGGGUCUCUGGACAGUUCCUGACGCUGAGGCACGAAGGCCAGGGGAGCAAACGGG